GUCCUGUCUAGGUGGGAAGAAAAUUGCUCAACCCUCCUUCUCUGAGCCUCUUGGCUAUUGAGACCCUGGACCCUUCACAGCUCCUGCUAGUUUGGCUUCAUGUGCUUAAUUUCGUCUUAUUGCAGGCCCAAGGUACCUAACCUGCUUUCCAUAGCUUCUCUUUUUUUCUUAGACCUCUUCGUCCCCAAGGACCAGGAUACAGUCACCACAGCUCUCGGUGGACUUGUAGCUUCCAAUAGAUCCAAGACUUUCCACAAAGUCAGAGUUGGACAUACUGCAAACCACCCUCAAGAACAAACAACUCACUUAAUAUGUC
rnacentral:lncRNA from 1 species